rnacentral:tRNA from 1 species
AAGGGAGACCUAAUUCCGGUAGGAGACGAAAAAAAAGUAGUCCCAACCAAGAAUCAAUCCCAAAAGGUCGGAGCGAGGCGAAAUUGGCUUUCAAACUAGGUUCUGGGUUCACACAGGACCUGAAUCAGGAACAAGGGCUAUUAGCUCAGGUGGUUAGAGCGCACCCCUGAUAAGGGUGAGGUCCCUGGUUCGAGUCCAGGAUGGCCCACCUGUACAGGUGGAAGAAAGAAAAGAAGCUCCGAAUCAGCACCUUAUCUUACUUAUAUAGUAAGAGAGAAUGCUGGCUCUGAGUUCAGAGUCCAGAGGAACCUUGAAAACUGCAUAGAGCUAGGUGAAAAAGCCAAAAAAGAAGACCGCCA